UUAAGCUGAUAAGGGCGCAGGGAGGAUGCCUUGGCACUAAGAGCCGAAGAAGGACGUGAUAAGCUGCGAUAAGCUGCGGUUAGGAGCAAAUAUCCGCUAACCCGCAGAUUUCCGAAUGGGGAAACCCGGCAGAGAAAACCUCUGUCAUCCAUACGCCAAUACAUAACGUAUGGAAGGGAACCCGGUGAACUGAAACAUCUAAGUAGCCGGAGGAAGAGAAAGAAACAUCGAUUUCCUGAGUAGCGGCGAGCGAAAGGGAAGGAGCCUAAACCGUGGUGCGUGCACCGCGGGGUCAUGGACUGCAUAAGUGAGCUGAAAGCUAGAAGAAUGGUUUUGGGAAAGCCAGCCAGAGAGAGUGAAAGCCUCGUAUUCGAAAGCGGAAGGCAGCGGCAGGAUCCGGAGUACCACGAGACACGUGGAACCUUGUGGGAAAUCGGGGGGACCACCCCCCAAGGCUAAAUACUACUUAGUGACCGAUAGCGCAUAGUACUGUGAAGGAAAGGUGAAAAGAACCCCGGGAGGGGAGUGAAAGAGAACCUGAAACCCUGUGUCUACAAGCUGUGGAAGCACUAUAUAUGUGCAACCGCGUACUUUUUGUAGAACGGUCCGGCGAGUUAUGCGGUGUGGCAAGGUUAAGCACUGAAAGUGUGGAGCCGAAGGGAAACCAAGUCUUAACCGGGCGUCCAGUCACAUAGCAUAGACCCGAAACCGGGUGAUCUACCCAUGUCCAGGUUGAAGCUGCUGUAAAAGGCGGUGGAGGACCGAACGCACAUCCGUUGAAAAGGGUGGCGAUGAGGUGUGGGUAGGGGAGAAAUUCCAAUCGAACUCGGAGAUAGCUGGUUCUCCUCGAAAUAGUUUUAGGACUAGCCUGUCAAGAGUCUGCCGGAGGUAGAGCACUGAAUUUCCGCGGGGGCGUCAAAGCUUACCAAAGAAUAUCAAACUCCGAAUGCCGGCCAGAUGAUUUGAUGGAGUCAGACUGCACGAGAUAAGUUGGGUAGUCAAAAGGGAAACAGCCCAGACCACCAGCUAAGGUCCCAAAGUGCGUGUUAAGUGGAAAAGGAUGUGGGGAUUCGAAGACAACUAGGAUGUUGGCUCAGAAGCAGCCAUACAUUCAAAGAGUGCGUAACAGCUCACUAGUCGAGAGUCCCUGCGCCGAAAAUGUCCGGGGCUGAAACACAACACCGAAGCCGUGGACUCCGUAAGGAGUGGUAGAGGAGCAUUCUUAAAACCGACGAAGCUGUACCGGUAAGGAGCAGUGGAGGGAUAAGAAGAGAGAAUGCCGGAAUGAGUAGCGAGAGGAAGGUGGGAAUCCUUCCGGCCGAAUAUCUAAGGUUUCCAGAGUAAAGCUGAUCUGCUCUGGGUAAGUCGGGGCCUAAGGCGAGGUCGAAAGACGUAGUCGAUGGAUAACAGGUUGAGAUUCCUGUACUCCGUAAUAUAAGAAAUGUGGGGACACAGAGGCGAAGCAUGAGCCGGGAAUGGAAAGACCGGUGCAAGCACAGGAGGUGCAUGGGAGGCAAAUCCCCCAUGUAAGCCGGAGGUGUGAAGCGGAGCGAACAUAAGGGUAGCGAAGCAUGUGGAGCAGCUGUCGGGAAAAGCCGCUAUAAAGUAUUACGGACCCGUACCGUAAACCGACACAGGUGGAUGAGGAGAGAAUCCUAAGGCCGACGGAAGAAGCAUUGUUAAGGAAUUCGGCAAAAUGACCCCGUAACUUCGGGAGAAGGGGUGCCUGCGAGAGCAGGCCGCAGAGAAUAGGCUCAAGCAACUGUUUAGCAAAAACACAGGUCUAUGCAAAACCGAAAGGUGAGGUAUAUGGGCUGACGCCUGCCCGGUGCUGGAAGGUUAAGGGGAGAGGUUAGCGCAAGCGAAGCUUUGAACUUAAGCCCCAGUAAACGGCGGCCGUAACUAUAACGGUCCUAAGGUAGCGAAAUUCCUUGUCGGGUAAGUUCCGACCCGC
rnacentral:rRNA from 1 species